rnacentral:rRNA from 1 species
CGGCAACAGCUCAAAUUUGAAAUCUGGCCCUCGGGUCCGAAUUGUAAUUUGUAGAGGAUGCUUUUGGUGAGGUACCUUCCGAGUUCCCUGGAACAGGAAGCCAAAGAGGGUGAGAGUCCCGUCU